UACGGAGGGUGCAAGCGUUAAUCGGAAUUACUGGGCGUAAAGCGCACGCAGGUGGCUGAGUCAGUCGAUUGUGAAAGCCUGGGCUUAACCUGGGAAUUGCAGUCGAUACUACUCAGCUAGAGUAUGGGAGAGGGUAGUGGAAUUCCCGGUGUAGCGGUGAAAUGCGUAGAUAUCGGGAGGAACAUCAGUGGCGAAGGCGGCUACCUGGCCCAUACUGACACUCAGGUGCGACAGCGUGGGAGCAACAGG
rnacentral:rRNA from 1 species